CUUUAGUCAUCUAUAGAUUUUGACCCUGAACACAAUCUUGGUUGGUAAUUGCUGGAAUUUUCAAAAUGCAGAAACUCUGAAGUCUGUUCCACUCAGGGUAGAGUUCAGGUAAGGAGCAUUCCAGGCCUGUCAGGGGAUGACUGAUUGCUCCUGCUGUCAUUCCUUCCUUGGUCAGGCAACAGGAGUUCCUUCUCAUGGUAAGUGUCCCUCUCACCUUAACCACGCUGGGCUGGUUCCUGGUCCAGUCAAGGGAUACUUCAGUGCCCAACUCAUUACACAAAGGCCUAAGGGGAAUUUCUGAGGUAGAGCAGCCCUGAGGUGGGGGAGGAAGGCACCACGUGGAAGUUGGGGAAGGAGAAAAGUAGCUUCGCUCUUCUGAGUUUCCCUGUUUCAAGCAGAUAUUGUUGGAGUUGAUGCUCAUUACUGUAAAUCCAUGCUGCAUUGGGUAAUGUUGGAAUAAUUAGGAUUUUUAAUAAGCGUUUUUUUUUAAUACUGAAAGAGCAAGUGUAUGGUUCUUGCAGGGUUUAUUUAGUUGUAAAUAGAUACUAUUGUAAAGUUACUAUUGAGUGAUGUAUUCAUACAGAGGAGAGAAAUAAUGCAUCCUAUGAAGUGAGAACAUAUGUCAUCUGCAGAAAAAUGCUCAAAACUGUACAUGUGUUGCCUUUUGUAGGCCCAGUCCUUCCAUGGUAUUUAAGGAAGAGUCUGUCUCUUAGCCUUCAAAGUUCCACAGAAUGUACAAGGUAGUCUGCCUGUGUGCCAUCUGUUGUCCUGUGGCUCAGCAUGCACUUCUCCAGGCACUGGCCUAAUGGAACCAAAGUAUGGGAACAACCUAUGAGGUGCUAUAAGGUGUAUAAAGACUUACAGACUGGUGGCCUUGGAAGCUGAAACUCAGCAGAUCAGCUUUGGCAUUGGCAGUAGAUAUGCAGUCCUGCCUAAAAUGCCAGUUGCCCCCCAACCUUCGUCUAUAAGACCUUAGUAUGGCAUGGUUUUUCAUGGGUAGGUCACCCCCAAUGUAAAACAAUCCCCUGACUUUUGAUGACAUAAAAUAAUUGACAAAGAAUACACAAAACAAGCUGAUGGUAUUUUCCAAAUGAAUUGGGAUUUUUUUAGAGUUUUCAGUUAUUGUGUAGACAGAUGUCUGAGACAUUUCAAACUACUGAUGAGUGGCACUGGAAUUGCAUUUUUGUAUUUUGGCACUGGAGCAGGGGGCAAAGAGGACCAGUUCUGCCAGAGUUGGUGGAAUUAAGGUUUUCAGCAGUUAUCCUCUAAAUUGCCCAAUGAGUGGAACAGCCAGAAGAGAGCAAGUAGCCUUCCCUGGGAGCAGGCUUUUGUUCCAUGGCAGUAGGGAUUGGUAGCCAAUUUUCAUUAGAUAAAGGUGCUUUACUCUGCUUCCCCUGCCCUGCCACAACCCCACCUCUUCUCGCCACAAAAUAAAAAAAGGAGGCAUCAGUUUGUGUUGCAAAAAGGCUUUGCACUGUUUCUUUUGACUUUGCUUCGGAUGCUUUGGCCAUUGUUCCCAGUUUUGUCUAGAGAUGUGCAAGUGUUAUAUAAUUAAGGUGUUUAGGAUAUCAUUACUCCAUCACUGUUACUACAUUGCCACUUGGCAAUUCAGAAGGACCCUGCUGUCCUAUUUCUUUUAAGGAAUGCUGUUGAUGUAAAACAACAGAGGUUGUUCUGCAGAGGUUUUGUUCUUUGAAUGUGUAAAUCUUGUAUAAAAGCUUGUCUGCCUCACAGAGUACUGCAGAAACCAGGGGUGCACAUCUCGGCGAUUUCCAGCUCUGGGGUGAAAUAGGUACUACAGGGAGGUCAGGUAGCUCUGCUUGCAGCAGCAGAUGUAACACAGAUGAACUGUAGCAGAUUACUCUAAGUGAAGUAGAUUAAAAGGGGGAAAGAGCUGCUUUUUGUUCUUUGGUUUGUUCUUUCUCUAUGCAUGUCAGCAUUCUGUGACUACAAGUCUUUAUAUUGAAUUAAUUCUUUCCUUCGUGUUUGUUUGGAUCCUUUGCAAAGAGGCAGAGAAAAAAAAGUAUUAAAUCUCAGGAAUAUGAUUACAAGAUCACAGGAACAGGCAGAGAUAAAAAUGUGUGGGGUUUUUUAUUUUGGAGGAGUGUUGUUCCUUUUCAGUCUUAUCUUAUGAAGUGGAUUAGUUGAGAAUAUUCUAAAUACCUUCUGCUUGGCCUGCUUAGUUCCAUUCAUUGAUUUAUUCGGGAAGAAAAAAAAAGCUCCAUUGGUAGCAGAAGACAGAAAGCCAAGCCUUCUGUGGAGCUCACUUAUUUUGGCAGUGUCCAGUGGAGGUGCUCUGGUGGCUGAUAUUGCAAGUAAGCCUGCACUGCUGUGUUUCCCAGUGCAGGCACUAAUGAUGAGUCUUUUCGUUGUCCUCUCCACUUGCCUGAAAUGCAGAGACUUAAUUACUUUGUGAACUGCAUAUUAUGCCAAAUUUCACUGAAAAUGACUGGCAAAUUUAGUAGUUGAUUGGGGACUCAUCAAUAGAGAUAUGUUUAGCAAGACUGUGUUUGUUGACAAAAUCAAGCUGAAUGAUCUCUCACUCUUUUCAUCUCCUUAUAAUGAAGCAAAUGUAAUUAACAGCCUAAUUUGACAUUUUAUUGAGAAUCAGUCUCAUGGGAAGAAGAGAGGCAUGUUCAUCUUUGUAGUCUGGGAUUUCAAAAGACUUCAAGAGGUUGAGGUGGUUAAAAUCUGAGUAGGUUCAGCAAGCUGCCUGUCAGUGGUGACCUCUUUCCAUGGCCAGCUCAGCUGGACACACACCUCUGCAUCUUUAGACAUGACUUCUAAAGGCACAGCUUUGUGCUCUACAUAUGCACUUGUUUACUCUUUCCUGUAUCUCUCCCAGACUUUGAUCUGUUGCUAAUUCUCAGUCAAGCUUGACAGACAGGUGGAGGUUGACCAGCACUUUCACCCAUCUCAUGAGAGCUGGUGACUGAGAAUCCUGUGAAAGCUUCCUGAAGCUAAUACUGAGGUGAAAGUCUGUACUAAUGAAAGUACAAGUAUGAUGUUAGAGAAUUGUGAGGAAGCCAGUCCUUAGAAAUAUCAGAACCCAAGAAAGCUUCAGUAGGAGCUUACCAUAAACAAUGUGGCACAAGGUUCUGGCAGACUGGACGUAUUAGACUUAAAGCUGACAGAAGUACUGCUGACAGCUGCUGUAGAGAAUUCAAUGAACCUCAGCAGCUGAGGGAGGGCUGCUUGCUUUCAUGUUUCUGUAGGUUUUGCUGUGGAUUAACAGGUAGGCUUUGUGUAUCUUGUGAAGUCUUGGGCUAAGUAACACAAUCAUGGUGCAGCUUUGAGUAAGUAAGAAUUCAAAAGCAAGGCAGACAGUCAUAUUGUGACCUUAGGAUUGGAAAGCUUCCUCUCCUUCUCCAUACCUUUGGAGAAGGUUCUAGGGUUUAUAAUGGAAUGUGAUACAUAGAUUUUUCUUUUUUUUUUUCCCACCCCCUUCACAAACCACAAAAUCUACAGUUUUUUCUUGUCUUUGAAAUCAGAAAAUGUAAAGACAUAAUUAUCUCGCAGAAGCAGAUCCAGGUAAGAGCAAUGUAUGUGAUAUGAUACAAUCCAACACAUAAAACUUUGGCCUAAAAGUGCCCAGAAAUAGAAUGUAAGAUAAAUAGCUUUGGUCCUCAGUGGCAAGUAUUGAUUGCUUGUCUAAAUUGUCACUAUUGACUAUGAGGUCAGCAAUGUUUUUUCUUAAAUUAUGCUGCAUCAGAGAAUAUUACUGCACAUAUUGGAAUUAUCCUUAUAAAUUAAUAAUAGCCUUAGUAUUUUUUCCCUGUACUUCUCACUUUAUCUCCUUUUUUAAAAAUAGUCUGAGUUCAGAGAAACACGUAUGAAUCUAUUUUCCUGAAAUUUUAGCAAUAUUCCUACUUUUCCAUAGGAAGUAGAAAUCUACUAACAAGCAAAAAAAAUUUUUGUCAAAUUAAGCUUUUUUUUUUUUU